GGAGGGGUCGCAUAGUGGCCUAGUGCGGCGGUUUGCUAAACCGCUAUAUGGCUUUAAAACCGUAUCGAGAGUUCAAAUCUCUCCCCCUCCG
rfam:Elusimicrobia bacterium RIFOXYD2_FTLL_34_15 rifoxyd2_full_scaffold_657, whole genome shotgun sequence.